UCUUCCGUAGUAUAGUGGUCAGUAUGUGAGCUUGUCAUCUGGACUUUCGAGUCUGCGACUCCGCUCGAGACCCGGGUUCAAUUCCCGGCGGGAGAG